rnacentral:lncRNA from 1 species
GUAGAAGUGACGUGCAAGGCCGGUGACAAGACAGUGAAGGCAUACGGGAAGACCAAAAUCAACGGUAAAUACGCAAUAACCGUUAAGGGAUACAACUACCGUAAAUACGGUGGCGAAGUCUGCACGGCCAAACUCCACUCGCCACCUAAGGGAUCGCCGUGUAACAUUCCUACAAGUUACCAUUUGGGUAACAAAGGUGCUAAACUCCAUGUGAAAUCAAAGACAAAGUACGAGGUUGUGCUCUAUGCUAAGUCCUUUGCUUAUGCACCUAAGAAACCUUACGGAGAAUGCCACAAGCCGGCUCCUUACCAUCCUCCUUACUACUACAAGUCUCCACCACCACCUUCUCCGGUUUACUACUACAAGUCUCCACCACCACCAACUCCAACUUAUGUCUAUAAAUCACCGCCUCCACCAACCCCAGCGUAUGUCUACAAAUCGCCUCCUCCUCCUACCCCAACAUACGUCUAUAAAUCUCCUCCACCACCAACUCCGACUUACGUCUACAAAUCACCACCACCGCCUACUCCAACGUAUGUGUAUAAGUCUCCGCCUCCACCAACCCCUACGUAUGUCUACAAGUCGCCCCCACCACCAACUCCAACCUAUGUUUACAAAUCACCGCCUCCUCCUACUCCGACCUACGUCUACAAGUCGCCGCCUCCUCCUACCCCAACUUAUGUUUACAAGUCGCCACCACCUCCAACACACACUCCUACACCAUACUACUACCAUUCUCCACCACCACCAGUUAAAUCUCCUCCACCUCCAUAUUAUUACCAUUCGCCACCACCACCCGUAAAAUCUCCACCACCGCCAUAUUAUUAUCAUUCACCACCCCCUCCGGUGAAAUCUCCUCCUCCUCCUUACUACUACCACUCUCCACCCCCUCCGGUGAAGUCUCCUCCUCCACCUUACUACUACCAGUCACCACCCCCUCCCGUAAAGUCACCACCACCACCAUAUUAUUACCAUUCACCACCUCCUCCGGUCAAAUCUCCUCCUCCACCCUACUAUUACCAUUCACCUCCUCCACCGAUGAAAUCUCCACCACCACCAUACUACUACCACUCACCACCUCCUCCAGUCAAAUCUCCUCCUCCACCGUACUAUUACCAUUCACCUCCUCCACCGGUGAAAUCUCCACCACCACCAUACUACUACCAUUCACCACCUCCUCCUGUCAAAUUUCCUCCACCAUACUAUUACCACUCACCACCCCCACCGGUCAAAUCCCCUCCACCACCUUACUAUUACCAUUCACCACCCCCACCGGUCAAAUCUCCUCCUCCACCAUACUACUACCACUCACCACCUCCUCCGGUGAAGUCUCCGCCACCGCCAUACCAUUACAACUCUCCACCACCAGUAAAAUCUCCCCCACCUCCAGUAUACAUCUACGCCUCUCCUCCACCUCCUACCCAUUACUAGGCUCAUCAAAUUCAGCCACAUUCCCCCAUUAUUCAAGUAAAGACCCAACGCUUCAACAUUUUCAAUAUGCUCCAUAUCCAUAUCGAUAGAACUUUGUCUCAUUAUCUCAAUUUCUUCUUCG